GACGUAGGGCGCAAGCGUUGUCCGGAUUUAUUGGGCGUAAAGAGCUCGUAGGCGGCUUGUUGCGUCGACCGUGAAAACCCGUGGCUCAACUGCGGGCUUGCGGUCGAUACGGGCGGGCUAGAGUUCGGUAGGGGAGACUGGAAUUCCUGGUGUGAGCGGUGAAAUGCGCAGAUAUCUGGAGGAAUACCGGUGGCGAAGGCGGCAUCCUGGACCGAGAUUGACGCUGAUGAGCGAAAGCCAGGGGAGCGAACGGG
rnacentral:rRNA from 1 species